rnacentral:rRNA from 1 species
UUAAAUUGAAGAGUUUGAUCAUGGCUCAGAUUGAACGCUGGCGGCAGGCCUAACACAUGCAAGUCGAACGGUAACAGGGAUCAGCUUGCUGAUUCGCUGACGAGUGGCGGACGGGUGAGUAAUGUCUGGGAAACUGCCUGAUGGAGGGGGAUAACUACUGGAAACGGUAGCUAAUACCGCAUAACGUCGCAAGACCAAAGAGGGGGACCUUCGGGCCUCUUGCCAUCGGAUGUGCCCAGAUGGGAUUAGCUAGUAGGUGGGGUAACGGCUCACCUAGGCGACGAUCCCUAGCUGGUCUGAGAGGAUGACCAGCCACACUGGAACUGAGACACGGUCCAGACUCCUACGGGAGGCAGCAGUGGGGAAUAUUGCACAAUGGGCGCAAGCCUGAUGCAGCCAUGCCGCGUGUAUGAAGAAGGCCUUCGGGUUGUAAAGUACUUUCAGCGGGGAGGAAGGGAGUAAAGUUAAUACCUUUGCUCAUUGACGUUACCCGCAGAAGAAGCACCGGCUAACUCCGUGCCAGCAGCCGCGGUAAUACGGAGGGUGCAAGCGUUAAUCGGAAUUACUGGGCGUAAAGCGCACGCAGGCGGUUUGUUAAGUCAGAUGUGAAAUCCCCGGGCUCAACCUGGGAACUGCAUCUGAUACUGGCAAGCUUGAGUCUCGUAGAGGGGGGUAGAAUUCCAGGUGUAGCGGUGAAAUGCGUAGAGAUCUGGAGGAAUACCGGUGGCGAAGGCGGCCCCCUGGACGAAGACUGACGCUCAGGUGCGAAAGCGUGGGGAGCAAACAGGAUUAGAUACCCUGGUAGUCCACGCCGUAAACGAUGUCGACUUGGAGGUUGUGCCCUUGAGGCGUGGCUUCCGGAGCUAACGCGUUAAGUCGACCGCCUGGGGAGUACGGCCGCAAGGUUAAAACUCAAAUGAAUUGACGGGGGCCCGCACAAGCGGUGGAGCAUGUGGUUUAAUUCGAUGCAACGCGAAGAACCUUACCUGGUCUUGACAUCCACGGAAGUUUUCAGAGAUGAGAAUGUGCCUUCGGGAACCGUGAGACAGGUGCUGCAUGGCUGUCGUCAGCUCGUGUUGUGAAAUGUUGGGUUAAGUCCCGCAACGAGCGCAACCCUUAUCCUUUGUUGCCAGCGGUCCGGCCGGGAACUCAAAGGAGACUGCCAGUGAUAAACUGGAGGAAGGUGGGGAUGACGUCAAGUCAUCAUGGCCCUUACGACCAGGGCUACACACGUGCUACAAUGGCGCAUACAAAGAGAAGCGACCUCGCGAGAGCAAGCGGACCUCAUAAAGUGCGUCGUAGUCCGGAUUGGAGUCUGCAACUCGACUCCAUGAAGUCGGAAUCGCUAGUAAUCGUGGAUCAGAAUGCCACGGUGAAUACGUUCCCGGGCCUUGUACACACCGCCCGUCACACCAUGGGAGUGGGUUGCAAAAGAAGUAGGUAGCUUAACCUUCGGGAGGGCGCUUACCACUUUGUGAUUCAUGACUGGGGUGAAGUCGUAACAAGGUAACCGUAGGGGAACCUGCGGUUGGAUCACCUCCUUACCUUAAAGAAGC